UACGUAGGGGGCAAGCGUUGUCCGGAAUCAUUGGGCGUAAAGAGCGUGUAGGCGGCCCUGUAAGUCCGCUGUGAAAGUCAAGGGCUCAACCCUUGAAUGCCGGUGGAUACUGCAGGGCUAGAGUCCGGAAGAGGCGAGUGGAAUUCCCGGUGUAGCGGUGGAAUGCGCAGAUAUCAGGAGGAACACCAAUAGCGAAGGCAGCUCGCUGGGACGGUACUGACGCUGAGGCGCGAAAGCGUGGGGAGCGAACAGG
rnacentral:rRNA from 1 species